UACUCGCGAGCAUAUUAUACUGUCGGCUCUCGCGUGCACCCGCACACGACGGUCGGCAACACUCCAACAAACCGCCCCCUUCCCUUUCCUUCUGAACCGCGACGCCAAGAGCAACUAUGCCCAAAACGUUGAGAAAAGCACGUCUUCCUUGCCAGCUUACAAUGCGUGCUGAGAUACCACGGCUGAUUCCCUAAAUGUACAAGACAUAAGAGGUGACCAUUAGUUAAAAAGGCAAGCCGCUAAUACACAGCGCGACGCACACCCACCGCAGGGCAUGCUUCAAGGGAUGUAGUAAAAGCACGCUACGCCGCACAGCAAAUUCUAAAUACCAUAAUUGCAACCGUGGUCGCGAAAUUGUCUCCUCAAUGGCUGGCUGCCUAACCAAACACACCCAAGCACGCCCCGUCCUGCAGCUCCCGGUGUGCUAUCCACUACCACGCUAGAUGAAGGAAUCCAUAAACUUAGAGCGUGAUUCACUCGCUCAAAGCCGAGUCAUGACAUGAUUUUACUGGAAAGAGAACCUUGUUCAGCAAAGGACUGAAACUAAUGAGCAAAGCGUUUCACUUACGGUGGAGAGAUAUAUAAUAAAAAUCAACUUGUUUUGAUUCUUAAUUUGUCAUUUGAUUAUAAUGUUAUCAUCUCUUAUCUAACGAAAGUUAGAAAAAAUAAACUCUUUACUAAGAAAGAUCUUAUGAAUGCAAAGCUGACUUGAAAGGAUUAUCACGUUUCCCAUUUUCCUUACGAUUCUUUCCUAUUAUUGUAAUUUUCAUAAUUAUGUACGAUUUGUAUUAUAUAAAUUUUACCCUAAAGGAAAAACAAUAUCAGAUGUUUACCUGAAAAUGAAUGAACUCAUCAACCUGCUAGUUUGCAAACACAAAUCUAUGGACAUCACCCACAAAGUUUACAUAAGGUUUCUAAUAAAUGCAUUGGUAAUACAGAUGGCAGCACCUCACCUAGCAGCCCUGAGUGUAUUCUGAAACAGACUCACCAUGUCCACUCCCCCACACCCCUGCCACUCACACAUCUGAUACCCGACACACCAGGCACACUACCAUUAUUUUUGGAGUGAUUCACCAGAGAGCCACGCGCAGUUUCCACAGCCACCACCACUCCACCAAGAUCAGUCACCAUAUUGCCCUACUAUAACCUCCAUAGGAACUAUACAGAUCCGGUGUCUGGAUCUCUCACGGUCACAGAAGCUUUACUACAAAGGUCUGCAAGAUCAGAAGACUCAUCAUCCCAUGAGCGACACUGCUCUUGAAGGGAUGUGAGUGAUCAGAGAGUCCAGCAUCUGCACCAGCCACUUCAUGGACUCACGCCUUCCCUCAAGCGCUCUGGGAUCUGGUCCAGCUGAGAGGCCAUGGUGCCAAUGCGGGUCUGUAAGUCCAGCCACUGCACAGUGCACCUCUGGCAAUCUUCCAAUGCCAUUAAUGGAUACAUAAUGGAUGAAGUCAAAAACACAUGAAGAAACAACUAAGAGAAUAAGAAUACCAAAAUCAGGCAAAGUAUUAUAAAGGUUAAAGCUACUGGAAAGAUUGCACCGUAAGGAUUGCCUGUCACAUCCAGCUCACCUCAUGCCUUCGUCUGAUGGCUUCCACAU